rnacentral:misc_RNA from 1 species
AUAUCACCCUCCAUUCACUCCAUGGAAGAGACACUCAGCACUUUGGAUUACGCUCAUCGUGCCAAAAACAUAAAAAAUAAGCCAGAGAUUAACCAGAAGAUGAUGAAGUCUGCAUUAAUCAAAGAUUUGUACUCCGAGAUUGACAGACUGAAGCAAGAGGUGUAUGCUGCAAGGGAGAAGAAUGGCAUUUAUAUACCAAGAGACCGAUAUCUUCAAGACGAAGCAGAUAAGAAGGCAAUGUCUGAAAGGAUAGAACGGAUGGAACUUGACUUCGAAUCCAGGGACAAGCAAUUUAUGGAACUUAAGGAACUAUACAAUUCUCAGCAAUUGUUGACAGCAGAAUUGGGUGACAAACUUGAGAAGACAGAGAAAAAGCUUCAGGAA